GAUGAACGCUGGCGGCGUGCUUAACACAUGCAAGUCGAGCGAGAAGUUUUGAAAAGAUUCUUCGGAUGAAAUUUAAAAUGGAAAGCGGCGGACGGGUGAUUAACGCGUAGGCAACCUGCCCCAUACAAAGGGAUAGCAUUUGGAAACGAAUAUUAAUACCUUAUGAAACUUAACUAGUGCAUGCUAGGUAGGUCAAAGAUUUAUCGGUAUGGGAUGGGCCUGCGUCUGAUUAGCUAGUUGGUGAGGUAACGGCUCACCAAGUCGACGAUCAGUAGCCGACCUGAGAGGGUGAACGGCCAAAUUGGAACUGAGACACGGUCCAAACACCUACGGGAGGCAGCAGUGGGGAAUAUUGCACAAUGGGGGAAACCCUGAUGCAGCAACGCCGCGUGAACGAUGAAGGCCGUUGGGGAGAAAAGUUCUGUUCUAGGUGAUGAAAACUGACAGUAACCUAGGAGAAAGCCCCGGCUAACUCCGUG
rnacentral:rRNA from 1 species